rnacentral:lncRNA from 1 species
GGGAAGAACCCGCACUGAGGGCAUUUUCAAUAUCUUGAUCCAGCUGGUCCAGUUUCAUAAUUAACAGCACCAUUGAAUCUAGCCGUGAUCGAUCCCGUUCUUCUGUUAUUUCCUUUUUUUUGCGCAGUUUCACUUGACUGUCUGAAUAUUCUUGUGUGGCCAAAUCAAUCCUUAAAUGUAAACACUGAGUGUCUUCUGCUGAACUGACAUUUGAAAGGCAUUUGUUUUCA